rnacentral:sRNA from 1 species
UCUUCUCGUGCCGCGGCGGAAGCUGACUC